UAAACAAAGAGGAAGAUAGGAC
rnacentral:siRNA from 1 species